rnacentral:rRNA from 1 species
ACGCUCGACACCUACGGGAGGCAGCAGUGGGGAAUAUUGCACAAUGGGGGAAACCCUGAUGCAGCAACGCCGCGUGAGUGAAGAAGUAUUUCGGUAUGUAAAGCUCUAUCAGCAGGGAAGAUAAUGACGGUACCUGACUAAGAAGCUCCGGCUAAAUACGUGCUAGCAGCCGCGGUAAUCUGAGCGGGCUGCAAGGC